AUUGAACGCUGGCGGCAUGCCUUACACAUGCAAGUCGAACGGCAGCACGGGAGCAAUCCUGGUGGCGAGUGGCGAACGGGUGAGUAAUACAUCGGAACGUGCCCGGUAGUGGGGGAUAACCCGGCGAAAGCCGGACUAAUACCGCAUACGACCUGAGGGUGAAAGCGGGGGAUCGCAAGACCUUGCGCUAUUGGAGCGGCCGAUGUCAGAUUAGCUAGUUGGUGGGGUAAAGGCCACCAAGGCGACGAUCUGUAGCUGGUCUAAGAGGACGACCAGCCACACUGGGACUGAGACACGGCCCAGACUCCUACGGGAGGCAGCAGUGGGGAAUUUUGGACAAUGGGCGAAAGCCUGAUCCAGCAAUGCCGCGUGAGUGAAGAAGGCCUCGG
rnacentral:rRNA from 1 species